rnacentral:lncRNA from 1 species
AAGUAAUACUAGCUUUAUGAAAGUUUGUUGUCUCUUUCUUAAAGAAUUUAUAAAAUUUGUUUUAGACAUGAGAAGGAACAUUGAAUAUGAUGAAAAUUAUUAAAGUUAAUUCAAAAAAAGUAUGGACUUAUUAUCAAAUGGUAUGAGAAUUAUGUCAACAUAUUUCUAGUUUUUUAGUUUUGAUGAUUUUGCACAAAGCAGUAAUUGCAUUGUGGUAAUGAUUCUAAUGGGUCAUUUGGAUGGUUUUUAUAAUGGAGUCUCCAUGUCUUUGAAUGACUCAAGUUGGAAUAAAAGAUAGAAAAAAGCUACCACUUAACUUGAAAUUGUGUGUCCAUCUGUGUUGCCACCAAAGACACAUAAAAGUGAUGAGCAAUAAUGUACUCCCUUUGCCCCUUUGUGUAAAAGCUACAGACUUUGCAGAAAAUAGUAUUAGCAACCAGGCUGAAAUAGGCAAUACAAAAUUUUUAAAACAAUUAUUGAAUUUCAGUGGAAUUUCGGCUAGACUAACAUUUCAGUGCAAGAAACAUGAUUGAAAAAUUGUUGCUGUCUAGUCUUUAAAAUAAUGACAUGGUUUACUAUAGAACUACACAUAUUUGGGUAAAGAUUUAUUUUGGACUAAAA